rnacentral:rRNA from 1 species
UACGUAGGGUGCAGGCGUUAAUCGGAAUUACUGGGCGUAAAGCGUGCGCAGGCGGUAAGUUAAGUCUGAUGUGAAAGCCCCGGGCUCAACCUGGGAAUGGCAUUGGAAACUGGCUUGCUAGAGUGUGGCAGAGGGGGGUGGAAUUCCGCGUGUAGCAGUGAAAUGCGUAGAGAUGCGGAGGAACACCGAUGGCGAAGGCAGCCCCCUGGGCCAACACUGACGCUCAGGCACGAAAGCGUGGGGAGCAAACAGG